rnacentral:rRNA from 1 species
GUACUCCGGGGAUAACAGGCUGAUACCGCCCAAGAGUUCAUAUCGACGGCGGUGUUUGGCACCUCGAUGUCGGCUCAUCACAUCCUGGGGCUGAAGUAGGUCCCAAGGGUAUGGCUGUUCGCCAUUUAAAGUGGUACGCGAGCUGGGUUUAGAACGUCGUGAGACAGUUCGGUCCCUAUCUGCCGUGGGCGCUGGAGAACUGAGGGGGGCUGCUCCUAGUACGAGAGGACCGGAGUGGACGCAUCACUGGUGUUCGGGUUGUCAUGCCAAUGGCACUGCCCGGUAGCUAAAUGCGGAAGAGAUAAGUGCUGAAAGCAUCUAAGCACGAAACUUGCCCCGAGAUGAGUUCUCCCUGACCCUUUAAGGGUC